AUGGCGGAGCAGCUCAUCUCCACGGCCGUGCACCACACGCUGCCCGACAGCUACGUCAGGUCGGAGGCGGACCGGCCGCGCCUGGACGAGGUCGUGCCCGACGCCGACAUCCCCGUCGUCGACCUCGCCAACCCCGACCGCGCCGCCGUCGUCGCCCAGAUCGGCGCCGCCUGCAGCUCCCACGGCUUCUUCCAGGUGCUCAACCACGGGCUGCCGCUUGAGGUCAUGCUGGCAGCGAUGGCGGUGGCGCACGACUUCUUCCGCCUCUCGCCGGAGGAGAAGGCCAAGCUCUACUCCGACGACCCGGCCAAGAAGAUGCGCCUCUCCACCAGCUUCAACGUGCGCAAGGAGACCGUGCACAACUGGCGCGACUACCUCCGCCUGCACUGCCACCCGCUCGAGCAGUUCGUCCCGGAGUGGCCUGCCAAUCCGCCGCCCUUCAGGGAUGUCAUGAGCACAUACUGCAAGGAGGUCCGGCAGCUCGGGUUCCGGCUCUACGCCAUGAUCAUCGUUGGCCUGGGGCUGGAGCAGGACUACAUCAAGAAGGUCCUCGGCGAGCAGGAGCAGCACAUGGCGGUGAACUUCUACCCAAAGUGCCCGUCGCCGGAGCUGACCUACGGGCUCCCGGCGCACACGGACCCCAACGCCCUCACCAUCCUGAUGAUGGACGAGCAGGUCGCCGGGCUGCAGGUGCUCAAGGAAGGUCGGUGGAUCGCCGUCAACCCGCGGCCCAACGCGCUCGUCAUCAAUCUCGGCGACCAGCUGCAGGCGCUGAGCAACGGGAGAUAUAAGAGCGUGUGGCACCGCGCCGUGGUGAACUCGGACAAGCCAAGGAUGUCCAUCGCCUCCUUCCUCUGCCCCUGCAACAGCGUCAAGCUUGGCCCCGCGGAGAAGCUCAUCGGCGAGAAGUCGCCGGCGGUCUACAGAAACUACACCUACGACGAGUACUACAAGAAGUUCUGGAGCAGGAACCUGGACCAGGAGCACUGCCUGGAGCUCUUCAGAACCUAG
rnacentral:rRNA from 1 species